UAGGGAAUCUUCCACAAUGGACGCAAGUCUGAUGGAGCAACGCCGCGUGAGUGAAGAAGGUUUUCGGAUCGUAAAGCUCUGUUGUUGGUGAAGAAGGAUAGAGGCAGUAACUGGUCUUUAUUUGACGGUAAUCAACCAGAAAGUCACGGCUAACUACGUGCCAGCAGCCGCGGUAAUACGUAGGUGGCAAGCGUUGUCCGGAUUUAUUGGGCGUAAAGCGAGCGCAGGCGGAAUGAUAAGUCUGAUGUGAAAGCCCACGGCUCAACCGUGGAAUCGCAUCGGAAACUGUCAUUCUUGAGUGCAGAAGAGGAGAGUGGAAUUCCAUGUGUAGCGGUGGAAUGCGUAGAUAUAUGGAAGAACACCAGUGGCGAAGGCGGCUCUCUGGUCUGCAACUGACGCUGAGGCUCGAAAGCAUGGGUAGCGAACAGG
rnacentral:rRNA from 1 species